rnacentral:rRNA from 1 species
GAUGAACGCUAGCUACAGGCUUAACACAUGCAAGUCGAGGGGAAACGACAUCGAAAGCUUGCUUUUGAUGGGCGUCGACCGGCGCACGGGUGAGUAACGCGUAUCCAACCUGCCCAUCACUUGGGGAUAACCUUGCGAAAGUAAGACUAAUACCCAAUGAUAUCUCUAGAAGACAUCUGAAAGAGAUUAAAGAUUUAUCGGUGAUGGAUGGGGAUGCGUCUGAUUAGCUUGUUGGCGGGGUAACGGCCCACCAAGGCAACGAUCAGUAGGGGUUCUGAGAGGAAGGUCCCCCACAUUGGAACUGAGACACGGUCCAAACUCCUACGGGAGGCAGCAGUGAGGAAUAUUGGGCAAUGGGCGAGAGCCUGAACCAGCCAAGUAGCGUGCAGGAAGACGGCCCUAUGGGUUGUAAACUGCUUUUAUAAGGGAAUAAAGUGAGAGUCGUGACUCUUUUUGUAUGUACCUUAUGAAUAAGGACCGGCUAAUUCCGUG